GACGAACGCUGGCGGCGUGCUUAACACAUGCAAGUCGAACGAAGUGGCGAACGGGUGAGUAACGCGUAAUCAACCUGCCCUUCAGAGGGGGACAACAGUUGGAAACGACUGCUAAUACCGCAUACUGAAGGAGGGGUUUGCGUCUGAUUAGCUAGGUGGAGGGGUAACGGCCCACCAAGGCGAUGGUCAGUAGCCGGUCUGGGAGGAUGAACGGCCAAAUUGGGACCGGGGCAACGGCCAGAAUCCGUAGGGGGGCAGCAGUGGGGGAUCUUCCGCAAUGGAGGAAAGUCUGACGGAGCAAAGGCGCGGGGGUGAUGACGGCCUUCGGGUUGUAAAACUCUGUUAAUCGGGACGCGGUACCGGAAUAGAAAGCCACGACUAACUACGUGCCAGCAGCCGCGGUAAUAC
rnacentral:rRNA from 1 species